AGCUCUUUCCAGCUUUCUUCUUCAAGACUGAGCCGCUUGUUCCCCAGCUGCUGGUGAGGAUGUCAGCUCAUGGCUUGCCCACUUACUUCCUCCCUGGGAAUUGCCUUGGCCUAGGAGUGCUGCUUCCCAAUACAGACUAACUUUGAUAACUGGUAAGGAAUUUGGCCCAGAAUUAAGUAAGAGAACAUGAAGUUAUGAUUUGAACAAUCAUGGGUUGAGAGUGAAUUUGGAAUAAUAAUACAAUACUGAGGCAGAAUUAAGUGGAGAUGCUGAGACUGGAGGAUCCAAUUGGAAAAAAAAUAAAUGAAAUAAAAAAGACUCUGGCAGGAGACCAGAGCUACUUUUCUGCUGACCAGAUUACCAGCCACAAUCCUCCAGUUUGCUACAUUAAGCAACUUUUUCUGGAUAAAGAUUGGAAAUUUGAAACCACCUUGAAAAGAAGUUUACCUCUUAUUGUGCUAACUUACUACCCCUCUGCCUUCCUUUCUUUCUGUUUCCCUUCCUUCCUUCCUUCGCUCGCUCCUUCCUUCCUUCCUUCCUUCCUUCCUUCCUUCCUUCCUUCCUUCCUUCCUUCCUUCCUCUUUCUCUCUCUUUCUGUCUUUCUUUCUUCUUUCAUUCACUUUCAAGUCAGGUGUCAAUUUUUAACAGGUAUCGUACUUUGCAAUAUUGCAAUUAGCCCUGAGUGUGUAGACAGGUAACAACAUAAAGUCACUGACCUUGCUUUCAAUUGUCUUCAGCUCAUAAGUGGCCCCCUUGACCGAUAUACGUUUUGUGCACAUACAAAUGCAUGUGAAGACACACAGACACAGACACACACACACACACACACACACAUACACACACACAGUUAUCCAAUGCAGAUAUUCCUAGGUCCUGUUGAUUUCCAAUUGUGAAUGUUGUCAUGUUCUCCAUUUUAAAACAUGCUUUGCAAAACCAAGCUGACACAUGGGAAUUUUAGGAAUAUGUCCUGCAGGAGGCUCCUUGACAUUUUCUUUUUGAAGCCUUGGGGAUGUAUUAAAUGACAUUCAUAAAUUAUUUCUGAAAACAAAGUUCUAUUUUGAGAGCCACCAAAUGAUUUUCUUCAAAUAGUUUAAUAAGAAUAUGCAAAUUUUAAUUAUGUUUAUAAGGAUACUGUGCCUAGAGUUCUGAGAAAAAUGACAACUAUAGCAGUAUUUGCAUUUACAUUAGUAUUUGCUUAUCGAGCUAAAAUAUUUGAAUAAAUACCAUUAUGUAUGCCUAGAUAAAUUUCUA
rnacentral:lncRNA from 13 species